rnacentral:rRNA from 1 species
UACAGAGGGGGCUAGCGUUAUUCGGAAUUAUUGGGCGUAAAGGGCGCGUAGGCGGCCAUGCGUGUCUUCCGUGAAAUCCCUCGGCUUAACUGAGGACGUGCGGAAGAAACUGCAAGGCUCGAGUCCGGGAGAGGGGGGUGGAAUUCCCAGUGUAGCGGUGAAAUUCGUAGAUAUUCGCAAGAACACCAGUGGCGAAGGCGGCUCCACUGGCCCGAUACUGACGCUGAGGCACGGAAAGCGUGGGGAGCAAACAGG